UGUCCAGUAACUCCUAUCCCAACCCCGUGGUGCCGCCUGGGGCACGAGUAACCGUAGGGAAGAUCGGGUAACCAACCCUGGUAGGACCUUGGUCGUAUGCUAACAGGGAAGG
rnacentral:ribozyme from 1 species